CUUGUGGUCUGAUGAUAACAGCUAUGAAAAUGCUUCCUUCCUGCUCCCAGAGCUCCAGACAACAUUUUCUUUGCUAAUGUAGAUGUGGUCGAUAAUAGAAGAAAAGGCCCAGGGCUAAGUAGUCUCUCAACUGCUGGGUCUUCAUAAUUGUGACUGAGUGAUGCUGGUCCGACUGUCACGGGUGACCUGCCCCAGUCAAUAGGAGAGGAAAUGUGGCUGUGUCAGCAGGUCUGGCAGAGGGGAUGUGAACCCACUGACAGAGACUGGAGGGGAGCCACAUGGAUGCUAUAUUCAGCGCUGGGUUUACAUGUCUGUCCCCUGCAUCUUAAUUAAGGCUGGCGUGGGAGGGGAGAUCUCUCAAACAACAAGAUUACUGCCGUUCUCCUGCUUUGUGGGAACUGGGCUAUUGACUGACGCAUGGGUGUCAGAGAGCACAAAGCGCAGACCCAGACUACAAAAAAGACAAGGGGGGCA